UACGGGGGGGGCAAGCGUUGUUCGGAAUUACUGGGCGUAAAGGGCGCGUAGGCGGCCUUCUAAGUCGAACGUGAAAUCCCCGGGCUCAACCCGGGAACUGCGUCCGAUACUGGGAGGCUUGAAUCCAGGAGAGGGAUGUGGAAUUCCAGGUGUAGGCGGUGAAAUGCGUAGAUAUCUGGAGGAACACCGGUGGCGAAGGCGGCAUCCUGGACCGGUAUUGACGCUGAGGCGCGAAAGCCAGGGGAGCAAAGCGGG
rnacentral:rRNA from 1 species